CGCUAUUCUUUUCCCCCGAUAGAAACUGCAUUACACAAAUGUUAAACAGAGUUGCAGAUACCCCCAUCCUUCUGUGUGUGCACUUCAUUCGUCUUGCCCUGUGCAUUCAACUGGUCUUAACCACUUUGCUACACACUCACCUUGCAAUUUGCAAUCAACGAUGGAUUUGACUCUAUACUUAGAUAGAGUCAUUGCUGCAGCUGGGAGAUUAGUGAAACAUUUCCAUCACAGUACUCCCGCUACCAAAUCUUUGGAGGCUAAGCAAUAAUAAUUACGACUUCAAAAUCACCGCCUAAUACAGUCCUACAAAACCCAAUGGAAUUCGGUGUGUGACAUGUUUGACCGGCUGUUGGAGCAAAUAUGGGCUGUUACGGCAGUCCUCUCGGAUCGUUUAAUGACCAAUGACCAAGGCAGCUGAUGGAGGACUCACUACCUGUGUUAAAGGCACUUUACAGUUUAGUGUGCCACUACGGUUAUGUCUGCUGAUAAUGAAGUCUCCAUCUCCAGCACAUAUCCCAUCACAUUCAGUCUAAUAAAUACACAUAUCACCUCAGAAGAAGGAGACUGUCCCAAAAUAGCAGCAUUCAAGUCCAAAGUGCAGUCUCGGCUAAAUAUCGAUUUGGAUGGCUUGCCAUCAACACCAGCAAUGAUUGCAACGAUGUUAGACCCUCGCCCUAAACAUUUAGGAUUCCUUUGACAAAAAUGAUUUCAAAUACCAAACUACUGAAAUUGGCCACAGCAGUGGAUACGACUGCCAGUGCCACUGAAGUCAAACCUAGUCAUGGGACCACCGGCGUAUACGUGGAGACAGGUGUCAGUGCAGAUGACGCACUGCCGCGGAGGAAAAGUGCAACUGCAAGUGCCAUGGCUGUGCUAUUGGGGGACAAUUGCCCCACUCAACAAAAUGGCGUAUGCAGAAGUUGCAUCACUACAAA